rnacentral:rRNA from 1 species
UCGGGAAUUUUGGGCAAUGGGCGAAAGCCUGACCCAGCAACGCCGCGUGAGGGAUGAAGUAUUUCGGUAUGUAAACCUCGAAAGAAUGGGAAGAAUAAAUGACGGUACCAUUUAUAAGCUCCGGCUAACUACGUGCCAGCAGCCGCGGUAAUACGUAGGGAGCAAGCGUUGUUCGGAUUUACUGGGCGUAAAGGGCGCGUAGGCGGCGCGGUAAGUCACUUGUGAAAUCUCUGAGCUUAACUCAGAACGGCCAAGUGAUACUGCUGUGCUAGAGUGCGGAAGAGNCAACCGGAAUUCUGGGUGGAGCGGUGAAAUGCGUAGAUAUCAAGAGGAACACCUGAGGCGAAGGCGGGUUGCUGGGCCGACACUGACGCUGAUACGCGAAAGCCAGGGGAGCAAACG